rnacentral:tRNA from 5 species
CGCGGGGUGGAGCAGUGGUAGCUCAUCAGGCUCAUAUCCUGAAGGUCGCGGGUUCGAAUCCCGCCCCCGCUACUA